rnacentral:lncRNA from 1 species
CUGGUGAUGGACUUCGGAUGGCAUUGGGGAGGUUCGGCAGACAUCGAAGGCGAUCGGUCGUUGUAGGAAUCCAGCUGCUGGAGCCCGAUCGUCGUAGAAGCUCAUCCGAUAUCCAAUCGCUAUGGAGGUUCGGUCGAAGUUUGGUUCUUGUAGAAGGCUGAAAGGAGACCGCUUAUUGUAGAAGCUCGAUCGAAGGUCAGUUGUCGUGGGAGCUCGGAGUAGCGACCUGGCUGAUGAGUCCUGUCCCAUUGUAGAAGCUCGAUCGAAGAUCGGUUGUCGCGGGACCCGACUACGAAGAAGCUCGACUGAAGUCUACAUGUAAUGGAAGUUCGGAAGGAAUAUGUUUAUAGCAGAGGCUCGGAUGGGAUUUGCUUACAGUAGGGAUCCGAGGUAGGCCAUCCGCUGUAAGGGUUCGGAGUAGACUGCUCGCAGCAGGAGUUCGGGACAGACCACUCUAGUGGAAGUUCAGAGUAGGCCGCUCGCGGCAGGAGUUCGGCUAUCGCAGGAGCUCGACUGGAAUCUUGAAGGUGGUCGACCACCGUAGAAAUGUGGAAGGAGCCUGGUUACUAUAGAAAUCUCGUUGUCGGGGAAGCUCGGAUGCUGACGAAGCCCGAAAGAAGUUCGAGGGUAGUCGAUUGCUGUAGGACGGUUAACAGCGAGGCUCAGAGGGCCUUUGGGGUGGCCCGAUGGGUGAACACUGAGGCCCAUCAUCGAAGAAGUCCGGAUGGCCGAGAGAGUUUGGAGAGGCGUCACGUACAAGGUCGGAAGUCGGAGGAGCCCCAAAGGAUCAGUCCUCUGCAGACUUCGGUCGGGGGGGCACUUUAUACCCAACAGUCACAAAAUUUAUUUUUAAUAUGAUUCAUGAUUUGUAUAUGAGAUAUAUAAUAUCAUAUAUUGAUCUGAAUUUUAUUUAGGUCUGAAUUUUGCAUGCAUAUAUGAGAUAUAUGUUUAUAUGUUAAAUCUAAAAAUUAUUUUUAUAAUUUAAAAUUUACUUUCAUGCAAAGAAUUUAGAUCUAAAAUUUGAUUUUAGAAUCUAAAAUUUAUGUUUGUGCAUGAGGAUUUUGGUUAUGAAAAAAUCAAAAAUUAGGUCAUGUAAUGAGAUUGUAUCUAGGAUUUUGAUUUGAAUCAUAUGGGUUUAAUUUGAUUAAAUAAUUGAUCAAAUCGAGUCAAAUAUUGAUGAGGGUUAGGUCAAUUAAGUAAUAUGAUCAUAUAAUUAUUGUUGAUCAAAUCGAUUGAGUCUCAUAUAUAGAAUCAAUAAACCUAAAGACCUAAUUUGGCUCGAUAGUUUGAGCCUAAUUCACUUGAGUUAACCUUUUUGGACCCAUUGACCUAUUGGUGUCUAAGAUAAGUAAUUGAGAUAUGGUUAUUUAAUUGGUUCCGUUAGCUUAUCUGAUCAAUUUAUUGGUGUCUAAGAAAAGCAAUGGGAGGACCCCCAUCGAUCUCCACUUGAUCAAUUUGGAAGAUUGAGUCUUCAAUAAGAUUGUUUUGCGGUUUGGUUUAGCCCAUACCAAUUAGAUCGGUCAUAUGAUGACUAUUAGAUGAGACAUAAACCUAAAUCUCUCCAUAAAUAUUAAGUCCAU